CACGUAGGGGGCAAGCGUUGUUCGGAAUUACUGGGCGUAAAGGGCAUGUAGGCGGUUUUAUAAGCCUGACGUGAAAGGCUAUGGCUCAACCAUGGCACUGCGUUGGGAACUGUGAGACUUGAAUCACGGAGGGGGAGCUGGAAUUCCAGGUGUAGGGGUGAAAUCUGUAGAUAUCUGGAAGAACACCAGUGGCGAAGGCGAGCUCCUGGCCGAUGAUUGACGCUGAGGUGCGAAAGUGUGGGGAUCAAACAGGAUUAGAGACCCUGGUAGUCCACACUGUCAACGAUGUGCACUAGGUGCUGGGGCGGACGCUUCAGUGCCGGAGCUAACGCGGUAAGUGCACCGCCUGGGGAGUAUGCUCGCAAGGGUG
rnacentral:rRNA from 1 species